UACGGGGGGGGCAAGCGUUGUUCGGAAUUACUGGGCGUAAAGCGUGCGCAGGCGGUUGUGCAAGACCGAUGUGAAAUCCCCGGGCUUAACCUGGGAAUGGCAUUGGUGACUGCACGGCUAGAGUGUGUCAGAGGGGGGUAGAAUUCCACGUGUAGCAGUGAAAUGCGUAGAUAUGUGGAGGAACACCGAUGGCGAAGGCAGCCCCCUGGGUCAAGACUGACGCUCAUGCACGAAAGCGUGGGGAGCAAACAGG
rnacentral:rRNA from 1 species